GGGGUCAAUUUUUUCUCAUUUCAGAUUUCAGAAAUUAAAAAGAAUUAUUCUUCAAAUAUUAUUUUUUUUUCAAAUUUCAAAUAUUGAAAAAUUUCAAGAAGUAAUCUUUAAUUGCACAGUAUGGCACAUUAGAUUUGUAAAAUCUUUGAUCACAUUUAUUUAUUUGUUAUGCCGAAUCUAACAGUGUAUUUAGAUUUUUAAUUUUGGGUCCAGUUUUCAAAUUGGUCUACAUUAAGGUCCAAAGGGUCCAAAAUUAAACUUUGUUUGAUUUUAGCAAAAAUUGAAUAUAUGAGCUUCUUUGAUAUGCUGAAUCUAACCAUGUAUUUAGAUUUUUUAUUUGUGGGCCCCGCUAUCAAAUUGGUUCAUAUUGAGGUCAAAAGGGUCCAAAAUUAAACUUUGUUUGAUUUCAUCAAAAAUUGAAUUAUUGGGGUUCUUUGAUAUGCCAAAUCUAACCGUGUUUUUAGAUUUUUAAUUUGGGUCCCGUUUUUUAAAUUGGUCUUCAUUGAGGUCCAAAGGGUCCAAAAUUAAACUUAGUUUGAUUUUAGCAAAAAUUGAAUUCUUGGGGUUCUUUGAUAUGCUGAAUCUAAACAUGUGUUCAGAUUUUUGAUUAUGGGCCCAGUUUUCAAGUUUGUCCAAGUUGGGGUCCAAAAUUAAACUUUGUUUGAUUUUAACAAAAAUUGAAUAUAUGCGGUUCUUUGAUAUGCUGAAUCUAACCAUGUAUUUUGAUUUUGGACAUUGGACCAUAAUAGGUAAAUUAAAAAAAUUCAAGUUCUUAGACUACAUUCUUUCUGUGUCAGAAACCUAUGCUGUGUCAAAUAUUUAAUAACAAUCCAAAUUCAGAGCUGUAUCAAGCUUGAAUGUUGUGUCCAUACUUGCCCCAACUGUUCAGGGUUCGACCUCUGCGGUCGUAUCAAGCUGCGCCCCAGCGAAGCAUUUUAUUUCUUUUAUUUACCUGUGCAUUUUAUUGUGGAAACAUGUGUCAUCAUGUAUGAUUCAAUUCAUGCAAUUCAUUUUGAAAUGAAGAAUGACGCAAGAUUGCUGUUAGCCAAUUAAAAUAACGUAUAAUAAUGAAACAUACAUCUAAUGUAAUUAUUUAGAAAUAUAAACCUGUAAAGCAUACACAAUUUGAGCAUUGAAAAAUUUAUAGACUUAAAGUAGAUAAUGUUCCGAAAAUGCAAUAAUUAAUCUAGCAUUAUUGUUCAUGCUUCAAAAAGCAAAUCUCAAAGUCAAAGAGAGACAGACAAAAUCAUGCAAAAAAUAAAAACAAUGACUAAUGAAAAGAUAAUAAAAUAGUAAGUAGAGAUGAAAGAAUAUUUACUGAGCAGCACAAGAAGGUCUGGAUGGGGUUUUCAGAAUAGAAAAUAAUGGUUAAAAAAAAUAAAGAGAAAAAUGGACCCAAAAAAAUUUUAAAAAGAGAAUAAUAGGUUGCUAAAAUAUAAAGAAUAGAUUAAAAUAGCUUGAAAAUUGAAUAUAGAAACCCCUCACCCCUAUCCUCGCACAAUUUGCCAUCAUAACACUAUAGUUUUCAUAUUUAGAUUGAAUUGAUAGAUCUAGACAUACAAAGAUCUUAUAUCAUCAACAAAUUUUCAUAUGACAAAAAAUACAAGUUCUGACUUGGGAAAAAAUACACAUACAUUAUGUAAAUU